rnacentral:rRNA from 1 species
GAUGAACGCUGGCGGCGUGCCUAACACAUGCAAGUCGAGCGAUUCUCUUCGGAGAAGAGCGGCGGACGGGUGAGUAACGCGUGGGUAACCUGCCCUGUACACACGGAUAACAUACCGAAAGGUAUGCUAAUACGAGAUAAUAUGCUUUUAUCGCAUGGUAGAAGUAUCAAAGCUUUUGCGGUACAGGAUGGACCCGCGUCUGAUUAGCUAGUUGGUAAGGUAACGGCUUACCAAGGCGACGAUCAGUAGCCGACCUGAGAGGGUGAUCGGCCACAUUGGAACUGAGACACGGUCCAAACUCCUACGGGAGGCAGCAGUGGGGAAUAUUGCACAAUGGGCGAAAGCCUGAUGCAGCAACGCCGCGUGAGCGAUGAAGGCCUUCGGGUCGUAAAGCUCUGUCCUCAAGGAAGAUAAUGACGGUACUUGAGGAGGAAGCCCCGGCUAACUACGUGCCAGCAGCCGCCGCCGUAA